rnacentral:rRNA from 1 species
GGAAAUUUGAGAAGACCUGUCCUUAGUACGAGAGGACCGGGAUGGACGUACCUCUGGUGUACCAGUUGUCCUGCCAAGGGCAUGGCUGGGGAGCUAUGUACGGAAUGGAUAAGCGCUGAAAGCAUCUAAGCGCGAAGCCAACUUCAAGAUAAGAUUUCCCACCGCAAGGGUAAGACCCCAGAAAGACUAUCUGGUUGAUAGGUCGAAGGUGUAAGUGCAGCAAUGUAUUUAGCUUAUCGAUACUAAUAGGUCGAGGACUUGACCAAU